GAAACGUGACAGGCUGGGCCUAGAUUCCAAGUCUGAGCUGAACUUGGCAGAACGGAGACCUUGCUGUGCCGCCUCCAGCAGGACCCACCGCAGGCCCUGGGCAGCAGCGCUGUUCCCAGCUCGCUGUGUGACUUUAGGCAACCCUCUGUGCCUCUCUGAGCAUCAGCUUCCUCAUCCAAAGAGGGUGGGGGAAGAAGCCCCCUGUGGAGGCACACAGCCCUCGGGAGGGCUGAGGAGCAGGCCAACACGGCCACAGGCACACCCGCACGCUCACUCGCAUGCUCACACCGCCCGAGUGCUCGGUCACGGGCUGCAAACCGCGUAGCUCAGCUGUGUGGAUCUGGGGAGUCCAGGGAGUCCACCUGGCCACGCCUGCGGAGCCGCACAGCCUCGUGCACCCGGCACAUACCCGUUCCCACCCCCACCCCAUGGGCUCCAGCACCUCCGUGAGGCCUGGCGGACACCAGUGUCCUCUGGUCGGAUGACCUUGAGGAGAGACAGGACAGCUGCCUGGCAGGGAGGAGGGAGUGGGCAUCCUGAGGGGGCCGCUGAGAGCAGGAGAGUCCAGUCCCGGCCCUGUCCUCGGGGGCCCCACCUGAGCAGGCCCUUGACACCCUGAUCACACUCUUCCUGAUGCCUGAAUGCCGUGCCGGGCACCAAGGCCAGAGGCAGACCUGACACAUCUGGGGUGCCCAGUGACUCCUGGAAGUCACCACAGGUCCCAGGGCCCUUGUUCACCCCAAGCCCUGCCUGGCCCAAUGAGCAGGGAGGAAGAAGACGGCCUGUACAGGCUGCUGGGGGCUCCGUCCAGCCUCCCGGGCAGCCAGGUGGCCAGCCAUCUGCAGCCUUCCCUCGAUGCCUCUGGCACGGCCAGGCCUGGUGCUGGCCAUGUGGGGGCCGUGUGCCGGUGGCCGGUCUGGCCCGGCAGGCUGCCUGGAGGCCAUCUUGAGGGGGCAUCUGCACACAGCCAGGUCUCGGGCCGUCCCCCGCUGUCCUGGUGAGUGGCAGCCCUGCUCUGGGGACCUGGGGCUUUGGGAUGAGAGCCGCCUUCCCCACCCAUCGUCCUUGGUAAACAGCAGGUGCCUCCUAGUGCUGGUUGGGGCGAAGCCUCGAACACAGCACGUGUUUUGCCGAGCGCCUCCCGGGGCUGAGGACAGCCAUGCUGGGCAGACCAGGGCGGCACGCCUGCUGGCCAAGGCUGGUGACAAGUGACCACCAAGGGCUCAGAGCGCCUACUGUAUGCCAGGGGCAGGGACAGAGCAGUGACCGAGGAAGACAUGGUCCUUGCCCACAGGGUGCUCACAGCUUCAGGCGGGUGGGGGCCGGUGACAGGGGAUGCUGUCCCCUGAAGCAAAG
rnacentral:lncRNA from 1 species